AUCCAACUGACGAAUCCCAGAUAGGACGAAGCGGCGCACGUCCUGGAU
rnacentral:hammerhead_ribozyme from 1 species